rnacentral:rRNA from 1 species
UACGGAGGGUGCAAGCGUUAUCCGGAUUCACUGGGUUUAAAGGGUGCGUAGGUGGGUCUGUAAGUCAGUGGUGAAAUCUCCGGGCUUAACCCGGAAACUGCCAUUGAUACUAUAGGUCUUGAAUUUUCUGGAGGUGAGCGGAAUAUGUCAUGUAGCGGUGAAAUGCUUAGAUAUGACAUAGAACACUAAUUGCGAAGGCAGCUCGCUACAGGAAUAUUGACACUGAGGCACGAAAGCGUGGGGAUCAAACAGG